GGGAGCAUAGCUCAGUGGUAGAGUGCAUGCUUAGCGUGCAUGAGGUCAUGGGUUCAAUCCCAAGUACCUCCA
rnacentral:tRNA from 1 species